AUUGAACGCUGGCGGCAUGCCUUACACAUGCAAGUCGAACGGUAACGGGCCUUCGGGUGCCGACGAGUGGCGAACGGGUGAGUAAUACAUCGGAACGCGCCCGAUCGUGGGGGAUAACGAGGCGAAAGCUUUGCUAAUACCGCAUACGAUCUACGGAUGAAAGCAGGGGACCGCAAGGCCUUGCGCGGACGGAGCGGCCGAUGGCAGAUUAGGUAGUUGGUGGGAUAAAAGCUUACCAAGCCGACGAUCUGUAGCUGGUCUGAGAGGAUGAUCAGCCACACUGGGACUGAGACACGGCCCAGACUCCUACGGGAGGCAGCAGUGGGGAAUUUUGGACAAUGGGCGCAAGCCUGAUCCAGCCAUGCCGCGUGCAGGAUGAAGGCCUUCGGGUUGUAAACUGCUUUUGUACGGAACGAAAAGCCUUCUUUUAAUACAGGAGGGUCAUGACGGUACCGUAAGAAUAAGCACCGGCUAACUACGUG
rnacentral:rRNA from 1 species